GGUUGUGGCUCAGUGGCAGAGCGCUUGACUAGCAUGUGUGAGGCACUGGGUUCUAUUCUCAGCACCA
rnacentral:tRNA from 1 species